rfam:Lactobacillus ceti DSM 22408 NODE_172, whole genome shotgun sequence.
UAAAUAAUUAUGAUCUUACCGAAGACUCAGGUGGCUUUAGCCUUAAACAUGCCUGCCGAGGAGAAGUAUAAAAACUUUCUCUCUGUGUCUUGGUGGACAUAGAGUUUUUUUAUUAGAAAA